AUAAGAGGUCCCGCCUGCCCUGUGACCCUAAGUUUAACGGCCGCGGUAUUUUGACCGUGCAAAGGUAGCGCAAUCACUUGUCUUUUAAAUGGAGACCCGUAUGAAUGGCACCACGAGGGUUUAACUGUCUCCUUUUUCCUGUCAAUGAAAUUGAUCUCCCCGUGCAGAAGCGGGGGUACACCCAUAAGACGAGAAGACCCUAUGGAGCUUCAGGCUCAAAAGCAGACUAAGGCAAACACCCUCAAAACAACAAAGCGGUGAACUUAUUAGCCCCUGCUUUUCAUGCCUUUGGUUGGGGCGACCGCGGGGGACCAAACAACCCCCACGUGGACUGGGAGAACACCUGUCUCCCAAAACUGAGGGCCACACCCCCAAGUAGUAGAAUUUCUAACCAUAUGAUCCGGCACUAGACCGAUCAACGAACCCAGUUACCCUAGGGAUAACAGCGCAAUCCCCUUUUUGAGCCCAUAUCGACAAGGGGGUUUACGACCUCGAUGUUGGAUCAGGACAUCCUAUUGGUGCAGCCGCUAUUAAGGGUUCGUUUGUUCAACGA
rnacentral:rRNA from 1 species